UGCCAGUAAGUUACUGUAAAAUUUACAGCAACCUAUUUACAGUGUACAUGUUCACUGCCAUGUUCACAAGGAUACAUGUUCAAUUUGGUCAAAAUGAGAAAUCUUACAAGACUGCAUAAUUUUGCUGCUGACUGAUUUGGAAUAUGAAUCAUAUUGGGGAGUGUGAUGAUGUCUAAAUGCUGUCUAGGUAGGCAGUUCAAACCAUGCCUUCAUCUUCUCCACUGUACCGCUUCAGGAAAAUGUACAGGUGUUUGCCAAAUGAAGGUGACACAGAGUAGAACAGCUCUCUCUGACUCAAGACUUCCUGUCUGUCCUGCAGCAGCAGCAUCUUCUGGUUUACACUGGAAAGACGCGUUUAGCACGGAACCUGCUGCAGGAUGUGGUGAGGAGCUGGUAUGCACGUUUACCCUCCAUCGUAUAGAACGCAGAGCAGCUGGUGACCAAUGCAGAGGAGUUUGCUGAAGCCUGCAUGGGGCAUUGGUUCUGUCAGUGGAGCUGGAUAUGGGAUCUCAAUCAUUCAGAAGAUCUCUGAACAUCCUGAACAACAGCAGACGACAUAAAUCUGUGUGCCUUAACUGAUAUUAUUUCAGACAAGUUAUUUUUAGGACAUGGCUCUGUAC